GUGGCAGUGUUUGCUUUGUCGCAUCAAUUCCCAGUUUAAUGUGACGUCACUCUGCCACAUAAAUGAAAUGGUUCCUGCCGACAGGGCCUGUAAAGACAUUGGGCUUCCUGUGCGAUGGCUCCAUACAUU